rfam:Tulasnella calospora MTT 4182 unplaced genomic scaffold scaffold_145, whole genome shotgun sequence.
AGGCCCGUAGCUUAAUGGCAAAGCCACACACAAUCGUCUUUCUGACAAUCGAGUACUAUGCAGGUUCAAACCCUGCCGGGUCUA